rnacentral:misc_RNA from 1 species
ACCCAGAGAAGAAGCUGCUGCC